UACGAAGGGUGCUAGCGUUGUUCGGAAUCACUGGGCGUAAAGCGCGCGUAGGCGGCCAAUCAAGUCAGGGGUGAAAUGCCGGAGCUUAACUUCGGAACUGCCUUUGAAACUGAUUGGCUGGAAGAUGAGAGGGGAUAGCGGAAUUUCUGGUGUAGAGGUGAAAUUCGUAGAUACCAGAAGGAACACCGGUGGCGAAGGCGGCUAUCUGGCUCAUUCUUGACGCUCUGGCGCGAAAGCGUGGGGAUCAAACAGG
rnacentral:rRNA from 1 species